UAUACUCAUUAUAUACAAAAUUUGAAUGACGCGGGUGCGCCGUAAAAGUUCUUAUGUUGGCAGAUAGAGUGCGUACAGUUAGAUCACGCGGCACAGUAUUGCAGUUCAUAUUGUUCGUGUGCGCGCGUCUCUCAGUCGUUGCACCAAGAAAAUAUUCAACCAAGAUUACAUAUGAAGACUACAUUCUAUGACAGGUGCGUUGACCUAUACACAUCGUGUCGUUAUCACAGUUCAUAUUCAUCUGCUGCACAAUAAUUUUUUACAGAUCAGACGUGACCCGCCGAGUAAUUGGUCCACGUGCAGUUCGUUUUUUACAUUCCGUGGAAGCUUGGUUGUAGAACCUCGGACGGCACAUAGCUGGCGUCGAUCCUAGGACAGUCCAGGUAAGAGUGUCCGUCACAUUUCGAGAACAUUUCAUUCCCUGAAGUUCCAACCAAAAUUCUUCCACCCGUCGUGUUGUUUUCUGGACAGGCACUAUGUGUCCAUUUAAUCCAGUUAACAUCUUGAAGUUAGGUACUGUAGUAAUGUCACUAGACGAUGCACGAAUUAUGCACUUCACAUUUUCAGUUUUUUGCUGAAUAUAGCUCACCUAAAUGUUCGUAGUUAUUAAUCAA